CACGUUAUGGUGGGCACUCUAAGGAGACUGCCGGUGGACAACCGGAGGAAGGUAGGGGAUGACGUCAAGUCCAUCAUGGCCCUUACGGCCUGGGCUACACACGUGCUACAAUGGUCGGUACAAAGGGUUGCCAAGCCGCGAGGUGGAGCUAAUCCCAUAAAACCGAUCGUAGUCCGGAUCGCAGUCUGCAACUCGACUGCGUGAAGUCGGAAUCGCUAGUAAUCGUGAAUCAGAAUGUCACGGUGAAUACGUUCCCGGGCCUU
rnacentral:rRNA from 1 species